UCGGUAACUCUAGCUACGGCGUUUAUUAGGCCUGAUUCUGAAACAAACAGACCAUUGUCUCUCGGGAGUUUGAGGAAGCUAAUUAACUUCAGAUAUAAGACGUUUGUCAAAGCAAUUCUGCGACGGAUAUCGAGCUAAAAAUCGUGAGCGGCUUUCGCUCGAUUUUCAGGGAAAGCGUUCUCAUUUGCACAGUAUUAUCGAGUAAUGCUGGCUGAUUAGACACAUCAAAAACCAGAAUUUAUCAUGGUCUACUGAACUGAGGAUGAUGAGUAUCACACACUCACUAGCACAUCCUGCUAUCCAAGCUACAUCGCUCCCCUGGGUCCUCCUACCCCUAUACCCCCGUCUCCAUGGCAACAUGCCCUGCCUCGCAUUACCCAGAGAGAGAAUGGAAGCUCACAAACACUCCUCUCAUAGUCUGUUUCGAGUACAUGGUUCUUGUUGCUCCUGCUUUGAAACAGACCUGAGGCUACAGUGAUGAGUGGUAGUUUCUUUGUGUGGUGGCAGGAGUCAGGACUUGUAAUCGUUCUGGGUUCUGAUGGGAGAUGGAUGUGCGUCUGAUUAUGGCUGCGUUUGAUUGGUGGUGGCCAUUAGCUUGUGCCAGCUGACUGCCCGCUUACGCAUGUCCACUUUGUCCAGCCAGAUGUAGGCCUCGCCAAUCAGGGUCUUCUUCAUAAACUUCCCUCCAUUUGACACCAGGAACAGCUGUGAGGAGGAAGGGGAUACAAGACGUGGGGAAAGGGCAAACAAAAUGAAUGUUUUUCCUGAUGAAAUGAACAAUGAUAGAGCAAAGAAAUUGAAGGUAGAGAGGGAGGAGUCACGUGUCUCUCACCUCCUCUAGCAGAGAUCCCUCCAUGAUGGUCAUCUGACUCGAUACUUUGCUCUCAUUGGCUGGAAGAUGUUGUAUGAUCAGUAUGGGGCCAGUUCUGCCUUUAGAUGGGGCUGUCUCUACACGGACUCAUCCACAGAUUGCAUAGUCGCCCUCACAUGAAACCAGCUCAUGAUUUUUACACACCACAGUCAUGCGGACAUAGAUA